rnacentral:lncRNA from 1 species
CUGGAAGUGGGUUGUAAGAUAAAUAAUGGAGUCAUGGAUCAUUCCCCUUGUUUUUUUUUCCCAAGACAAGUAGAAGAACAGAGUUUUGAUUUACUGAAAUGAGGAUGGGAAGACUAUGGCAGGAUCAAGUGUUGGAGUUAAAAUCAGGAGUUUGGUUUUGAUCCUAAGUGUAAGAUGCUUACUUGAUGCUCAUAUGGAAGUAGUGAGCUGGAUAUCUAAGUCCUAAGUUCAGGAGAGAGGUCAGGACUUGUGUUGCCCCUGUAUCAAUGGUAUUUAAAGGCUUUGGAAAAGAAAAAUGAGUCAGGGAAAUCGUGACAGAGGAAAAGAGAAAAAGUCUGGGGAUUGAGGAUACUCUAAUGUUUAAAGAUUAGAGACAUGAGGAGCCAGCAAAGGAAAUGAGGGAAUGGACCAAGCAGGAAGAGAACUGAGAUAAACUGGGGUCUGGGAGACUGGUCAGUAGAAGGUUCAAGUAGGACGGAGCAAUCGCUGCCUGUUGCUGCUGACAGGGGGAGCAAGAGAGUUGCUGAAGAUCCACGACACUUUUAAGGAAAAAGAAAGUAUUGACAAAAGUAUGGUGAUGGUGCUGUAGCAUUGAUAUAUGCAUUAUGAUUGACCCUGGCUGAACUUCGAUCACAGCACCAAAAACUUGGACUUAUACCAUCCACACUCCUGGUUCUCAGGCCUUCAGUCUCAGACUGGAACUCACACCACCAGCUUUCCUGGGUCUCCAGUUUGCAGACAGCAGAGCAGUAGAUCAUGGGACUUCUCAGCCUCCAUAACUGUAGUAGUGGCUCUGAACCUGGGAUGACUGUCCCUGGGGGGACAUUUGGUGGUGUCUGGAGACUUUAUGGGUUCCUAAAACUGGAAAAGAGAGAGAAAGUUAUCACCCAAACUGGAUCACGGAGACAUACAUGUGAAAAGGUGCUUCAAGCAGAGGAUUUGCGUAUGGUCCUAAUCCCCCACUGCGUGUACGUGAAGCUAUCUGCCAGGAAUACAGUGAAAAGGAAAUGAGAACACAGUAGCCCCCUGUUGGAAACCCAGCUGUAAUUUCUAGCAUUCAGAUACAUCAUGGGGCACAUCACGACCUUGAACCAUAAACAUAUAUGCAGUAAA